AUACUUAACGCGCCAUGGGCACUUUUAAGUGAUAGUUAAAAUUUUACAGUUAAGCUCC
rnacentral:tRNA from 1 species